UUGUUUGGGAAUGCAGCUCUAAAUGGGAGGUAAAUUUCUUCUAAAGCUAAAUACUGGCCAGAGACCGAUAGCGCACAAGUAGAGUGAUCGAAAGAUGAAAAGCACUUUGGAAAGAGAGUCAAACAGCACGUGAAAUUGUUGAAAGGGAAGCGCUUGCAGCCAGACUUGCCUGUAGUUGUUUAUCUAGACUUUUGUCUGGUGCACUCUUCUAUGGGCAGGCCAGCAUCAGUUUGGGCGAUUGGAUAAAGGUCUCUGUCACGUACCCUUCUUCGGAAGGGCCUUAUAGGGGAGACGACAUGCAACCAGCCUGAACUGAGGUCCGCGCAUCUGCUAGGAUGCUGGCGUAAUGGCUGUAAGCGGCCCGUCUUGAAACACGGACC
rnacentral:rRNA from 1 species